rnacentral:rRNA from 1 species
GAUGAACGCUGGCGGCGUGCUUAACACAUGCAAGUCGAGCGAAGCACUUACCAUUGACUCUUCGGAAGAUUUGGUAAAUGACUGAGCGGCGGACGGGUGAGUAACGCGUGGGUAACCUGCCUCAUACAGGGGAAUAACAGUUAGAAAUGGCUGCUAAUGCCGCAUAAGCGCACAGUACCGCAUGGUACGGUGUGAAAAACCGAGGUGGUAUGAGAUGGACCCGCGUCUGAUUAGGUAGUUGGUGGGGUAACGGCCUACCAAGCCGACGAUCAGUAGCCGGCCUGAGAGGGUGAACGGCCACAUUGGGACUGAGACACGGCCCAGACUCCUACGGGAGGCAGCAGUGGGGAAUAUUGCACAAUGGGGGAAACCCUGAUGCAGCGACGCCGCGUGAAGGAAGAAGUAUCUCGGUAUGUAAACUUCUAUCAGCAGGGAAGAAAAUGACGGUACCU